UUUGAACAUAUUUUUUGCCAUUUUUUUUUUAUUUGAACAUAUUUUUUGCCAUUUUUUUUUUAUUUGAACAUAUUUUUUGCCAUUUUAUUUAAUUUAUUUUUAAAAAUAAUUCUGGCUUUUCAAAUUAAUAUUUUACACUUUUCAUUUGUUAAAUUUUAAAGUGACAUGGUUUCAUUAUUAGACUGUAGCUCACAAAAUAAUGCAUAGCUAAACUAAGUCUUACCUAGGUAUAAAUAAUAUGGAAAGGAGGAAGUAAUUAUUUUUCGCUAUGUAAUUUUUUAUUUUUUUUAAAAAUAAAAUGUACAAAAUAGUCAUUUUUUGGCUUCUAAUCACUUUAAAUGUUUUUUUAAAAAUGUUUUUUUUUUUUUUAAACUAA